AUACCUUUCUCGGCCUUUUUGGCUAAGAUCAAGUGUAGUAUCUGUUCUUAUCAGUUUAAUAUUUGAUAUGUGGGCCAUUGGUCCACACGAUAUUAACUCAAUUUUUUAAGGGGAAGAGUCCAUUAAGGUAGCUUGCUACCUGGGCUCUUGGGCGUCGCCCAUGCGUUGCACUACUGCAUGGGCCUGGCGCACCCCAC
rnacentral:snRNA from 2 species